UAGUAAGUAAUGCAUUGGGGAAUUCCCUGGUGGGCCAGUGGUUAAGAUUCCACACUUUGCCCAGGUUGGGGAACUAGGAUCCCACAAGCUGGGAGUUAUGGCCAAAAAACAAAUAAACAAAGGAAAAGUGGUAAGUAAUGCAUCAACAAUUAUUAAUUUUUUAUGACAUAUAAUUAAAAUAACAAUGAAAGAAAAAAAUAUGGAAAGACUUCACUUAUAAUUACUGUUAUUAUUCUCCAAUAUUCUUUUCUAGGCCUAGGCUCUGUGUUUGUGAAGCUGUCAAAUGAGGUUCCUAUUGCAAUUCUGUGGUGGAGGAAUUCUUAUGAAAAAUUGUGUUCCAUUUGAGGGUUAUGCUUCAAACCAGCUCUGGCCCGUUGAAUCUGAAUUUUGAGGAAUAGUAUACCUUAAAGGGUAUGUUUUUUCCAGUGGUCAUGUAUGGAUGUGAGAGUUGGACUGUGAAGAAAGCUGAGCGCCGAAGAAUUGAUGCUUUUGAACUGUGGUGUUGGAGAAGACUCUUGAGAGUCCUUUGGACUGGAAGGAUAUCCAACUAGUCCAUUCUGAAGGAGAUCAGCCCUGGGAUUUCUUUGGAAGGAAUGAUGCUGAAGCUGAAAAUCCAGUACUUUGGCCACCUCAUGCGAACAGUUGACUCAUUGGAAAAGACUCUGAUGCUGGGAGGGAUUAGUGGCAGGAGAAGAAGGGGACGACAGAGGAUGAGAUGGCUGGAUGGCAUCACUGACUCGAUGGACGUGAGUCUGAGUGAACUCCGGGAGUUGGUGAUAGACAGGGAGGCCUGGCGUGCUGUGAUUCAUGGGAUCACAAAGAGUUGGACACGACUGAGCAACUGAACUGAACUGAACUGACUGAUACUUUAAACAGAGCUUUCCUGGUAGCUCAGUUGUCAAACAAUCUGCCUGCAAUGCAGGAGACUCUGGUUUGAUUCCUGGGUCAGAAAGAUCCCACGGAGAAGGGAUAGGCUACCCUAUACUCCAGUAUUCUUGGGCAUCCCUGGUGGCUCAGGCAAUAAAGAAUCCACCAGCAUUGUGGGAGACCUGAGUUCGGUCCCUGGUUGGGAAGAUCCCCUGGAGGAGGGCAUGGCAACCUGUUCCGGUAUUCUUGCCUGGAAAAUCCCAUGGACAGAGGAUCCUGGUGGGCUGUAGUCCAUGGGGUCACAAAGAAGUUGGACACGACUGAGCAACUAAGCACAGCACACAGCAUGCUUUAAAUAAGCACCCUGGACAAUUCUUACAGUCUAAGCAGACUUGAGAAACAAUAGUUUAUUUGAAGCAAAUUCAUAGCUGUUGUGGCCAUGGCCAUAUGAAAUAUAGCACAGGAGAUCAGACCAGGUGGAAAGAUCAUCUUACCCACCCAAAGUCAUCAUGCAGAAGACUGCCCAUAGCCGUCACUUUGCCUUAGUGAAGAGGGGAAAAUGUGUAGAUGGGUAAUUUUCUCUGUGUCGCUUGCAGCUCCAGGAUUCUACUCCUCGCUGAAAUUACAAUUAUGUACAUGAUGAGAUGUGUGUAUAUUUAGAAUUUUUUCUAAUGCUUUCUUCAUGUGGUUAUUGGGUUGUUUAAAAGUCAGUUUAUGCACUGAAUAAUUGCUCCCUCAUUAAACUCGGUGGUUUAAUUUGAAAGAUAAGCAGAGUUUAUGUAACUCUAGGUCAUUGCCCAGAUCUGGAAGUAGUAUUCCCUGGAAGUGAACUGGUCCCAAAUUUGGGAAAUAUUGGGGCUUUUUGAGUUAAACUCACUUCCUGGUUCCUCUCCUCACCCUGGGGCAUCAGGUCUCUCCUGCUGUCCUUCAGCUGUCUACUCUGUCACCUCUCUCUCCUCUUCUUUCCUUGAUAGUGCUCCAUGCUCCAAAAUCAUCUUUCUCUCCCUUUGAAGGUCUUCUCCUGAGUCAAAAGAUAAAACAGAAUGGCAGAAAUAAAGCAUAAUCCAUAUGCAUUUAUGGACUAUGCACAAUCCAUAACCCAAUAAUUCUUAUCCUGUAGAUUUGGUGAUAAAUGGCAAUCCGCUCCAGGACUCUUGCCUGGAAAAUCCCAUGGACGGAGGAGCCUGAUAGGUUAUAGUCCAUGGGGUCACAAAGAGUCGGACACGACUGAGUGACUUCAUGUAGUAGAAAGGAAAGAAUGGAUAAAUGCACACAUGCCCUAGUGGGAGUGACUGAUGGAUGACUUAGUGCAUUAACAAACUGUCCCACAUUGAGAAUAGACUGGUGGUUGUCAAGGGGGAGCAGGGUAGGAGAGGGUUAGGUUGAGGAUUUGUGAUUAGCAGAUACAAACUGGUGUAUAUAUAGAAUGGAUAAACAAUAAAGUUUUACUGUAUAGCACAGGGAACUAUAUUCAAUAUCUUGUGAUAAACCAUAAUGGAAAAGAAUAUGAGAAUGUAUAUGUAUAUAUAACUGAGUCAUUUUGCUGUACAGCAGUAAUUAACACAGCAUUGUAAUUCAACUAUACUUCAAUUAAAAAAGAAAAAACUGUCAUUGGCACUCUAAGACAAUGCAUGUUAACUAAAGGAAUAAGUCUCAAAUACAUGCUAUCAGGCAGUUGCAAAGGAGAGUGAGGGGAAAUUUGGGGCAGAGGGAUCUUUAAAUCAAACCAAAAGGGGCAUAGUUUACUCUGCUACCCGAGGUCAGCCGUUGUUCUUGGAAACACGUUGAUACGAUGUUCAUCCAAGAAAACCAGGGAGACAUGCUUGUGUCUGGUUAAAGGGCAAUUCCAGGCCUUUCUCCCCACCCUCUUGGUUUCUCUUCACCUCUAGCAGGGCACUACCUGUCUACCCUCUGCAGGUAGGUCGUUCCAGAAACAGACAGUUUCCAGGAGAGCCAUGAACUGUGCAAAUCCACAUUCAGAGUCCUCACAUUUUUGAUAUUUAAGGCUGUUGACUUGUGGACUAAAUGGUUGUCAGAGUCUUUUCACGUAGAUAGAGUCAAGAACUUUUGGCUCAGGCUCUUAUCACUCUACGUAAAGGUGAAAAAUUGAUUGGAAGAAAAUGUGGCAUUUUAUUCUCCCUCAUGUCAGUUGAAAGUUUAGUUUCCAUGUCUUUCUGUGUCACUGAAAUAGUAAAUGCAAAUCCAACCAGGCAGGCUUUUUUUUUUUCUUCACUAAAGGGUUCUGCAUUAGGAAAUGAAAAAAUUUGACAGAGUAAAUGCAGAGUGGAUAAUAGGAAGCAUGUUGUAUCCCCCUUUCCCAAUUCAAGAUACAAAGCUCAGUCAUUCAUCAGGCUGUGUGUUGCAGCAUUUUAUGGCAUCCUUGGUUCCUUCGGUAUCAUGACUGCUUGGUGAUUUUCAGUGAUGGGGCAGACCUGCAGCGAUAAGACAGGAUGUGUCUCUGUUGAAUUCAAUUUUCACUUUACCUCACUCAUUUAAUGUUUUUCAUAUUUAAAAAUCUGAAAUAUUGGUAACAGAAAUUUGAUGGGCCUGGCAUUGAAUGAUACUGAAGAAAUAUUUUGGCUCAAGACCAAUGAUUAAAUAUGCUAAGAGACCUAUUUUUCUGAGUGCCUUUGUAUUUAGUGUUGCAUUUUAAGUGACUUUGAAGUAGAGUUAGUGUUUGAAUUACUUAUUCUUUAAGGAACAAGUGUAGAUAUUUUAUUAUGAAAUAGUGAAGAGUUUAUCAGUAGUAAGUGACACUUCCUGGGUGCCAGGCUCUAACUGUUUUAUGUGUAUCAUAUGUUGUUCUCACUACAACCCCGGGAAUGGCUGCCAGUUUUGUCGGUGUUUUUAGAUGGGGAAACUGAAGCACAGGGAUUUUGGAUGACUUCAACAAGGUCUACCCUAGCUAGAGGUGCUGCUGGGCUGUGGGCCAGACAGCACUACUCCACAGUCUUCAUGUGCAUCCAUAGAGCUGUACUGCCUCUACAGCAACAACGAAAAUGUCUAGAAGAAUGCACUGAAACCUGGCAGGACAAGUCCCCUCUAGGACUGCGAGAACUUUUAUUUAUGAUGGUAAUGUAUUCAUGUAUUAAAUGUGAUUGAAACGUGUAAAGUUAAAAUUGUGAAAGUCCUCAGUCAGGUUAUUAAUUUCCAUAAAUUUGUUGCUACUUGAAAAAAUUGUCAAUUAGACUCUUAAAGCUGGUAAAGAAUCUAGGGAUUAUGUUAAAGAGAUUAUCUUCUUGUUUUUCCAGAUGAGGAAACUGAGGUUGUAUGACUUGCUUAAGCACAUAAAACUAGUUAGUGACAGAGCAGUUCUGCUGAUUUUGUGUGCUUUCUAUUGCAUUUUUGAGACAUGUCUUACGUGGAGUAAUUUGUAGAACUUAAGUGAAUAGUUUGAGAAUUUUAUCAAAUGCAUGUACUCAUGUAACCAAUUUCAGAACCAUAUAGAUGAUUUAGUUCUUAUGAUAAAAAUCAUUGCUCCUGAACAUUCCCUUGUAUUAGGCAACUCUGAAAACUUUCCUUGUGUGUAUUAGUAAGAAUUCAAGUACUUACAUUUUAUGUGUAUCCAUACAUUUUACCUGUCUCAGCAAAGAUACAUCUUAAUGUGUGUGUGUGUAUACUUCCUUAAAGACAGAAAUAGGAUUUUCACAAAGUCCCAUGAGCUUCUUUUUAUCCUUCUGCAAAC
ensembl:lncRNA